rnacentral:lncRNA from 1 species
CUCCAGAGAAGAAGAAAGAGUCGAAGCUCUCAUGCUCACAAUGCCCGUGGGAAUGAAUACAGAUGUGAACUUCAACUGCUGGAUGUCUCACAGCUGAAAAUGCUCUGCUUUUCCUGCCUAUUGGAGUUAUGGCCUUGAAGUUUACUCUGAUGGACCCAAGUAUGGGCUUCUGCUGUAACAGGAAGGGUUACUUACCCACACCUGGAGGCUAAGUGUGGCCAUAUGACUUGCAUUGUCCAAUGAAACAUGAGGAUAUGUGACUUGUGUCAUCCCUAGAUGUGCACAUCUGCACGUUGUCUCCAGCUGCUGUGGCAAAUGCAGAAGCCUCUUGUUGAGAUGGAGGAGAUAGUGGGGCCUCCGUCUGCCUGAGGCCCUGAGUGACUUCAAUGAGUAGAACCAUGCUGUUGACUCCUAGUGAUAUGAAGUAUGAGUCAGAAAUAAAGCUUUGCUACUUUUAGC